rnacentral:rRNA from 1 species
UCAAUAAGCGGAGGAAAAGAAACCAACAGGGAUUGCCCUAGUAACGGCGAGUGAAGCGGCAACAGCUCAAAUUUGAAAUCUGGGUCUUUCAGGCUCCGAGUUGUAAUUUGUAGAGGAUGCUUCGGCAAAGGGCCUGGGAUAAGUUCCUUGGAACAGGAUGCCUAAGAGGGUGAGAGCCCCGUAAUCCUGGGUACCGCUGCCAUGUGAAGCUCCUUCGACGAGUCGAGUUGUUUGGGAAUGCAGCUCUAAGCGGGAGGUAAAUUUCUUCUAAAGCUAAAUAUUGGCCAGAGACCGAUAGCGCACAAGUAGAGUGAUCGAAAGAUGAAAAGCACUUUGGAAAGAGAGUUAAAAAGCACGUGAAAUUGUUGAAAGGGAAGCAUAUACUGCCAGACUUGCCACAGUCGCUCAGCCGUAAGGCGUAUUCUUCUGUGGCAGGCCAGCGUCAGUUUGGGCGGCUCGAUAAAGGCCUUGGGACUUGCUUCGGCAAGGCCCUCGGUGACAUAGGGCCAGCCUAGACUGAGGACCGCGUCGCAAGGAUGCUGGCGUAAUGGCAGUAUGUGGCCCGUCUUGAAACACGGACCAAGGAGUCGACCAUCUAUGCGAGUAUUUGGGUGUUAAACCCAUAUGCGCAAUGAAAGUGAACGGAGGUGAGAGCUACGGCGCAUCAUCGACCGAUCCUGAUGUCUUCGGAUGGAUUUGAGUAAGAGCAUAGCUGGUCGGACCCGAAAGAUGGUGAACUAUGCCUGAAUAGGGUGAAGCCAGAGGAAACUCUGGUGGAGGCUCGCAGCGGUUCUGACGUGCAAAUCGAUCGUCAAAUUUGGGUAUAGGGGCGAAAGACUAAUCGAACCAUCUAGUAGCUGGUUCCUGCCGA